rnacentral:rRNA from 1 species
UACAGAGGGUGCAAGCGUUAAUCGGAGUUACUGGGCGUAAAGGGCGCGUAGGUGGUUGUAUAAGUGAGAUGUGAAAUCCCUGGGCUUAACCUAGGAACUGCAUCUUAUACUGUAUAGCUAGAGUACUGUAGAGGGUAGUGGAAUUUCCGGUGUAGCGGUGAAAUGCGUAGAGAUCGGAAGGAACACCAGUGGCGAAGGCGGCUACCUGGACAGAUACUGACACUGAGGCGCGAAAGCGUGGGGAGCAAACAGG